GAGGGUCUUUCCAGACUUUCAAGUUUUAACAUAUGUCACAGUCAGUGAAGCCCUACAGAUGCUAGAAUUAUACUAUGUUGAUAGUUACGCAAAUCUUCUUUAAGUCAAAUCAGAAAGAAAAUUUCUGUUUCAGAGAAGUUUCCCAGCUUAUGCAUGCUUGACUUCCACAUAACUUGAAUGGUUGCAUACUUGCAAGGAUUGUGCUCUAUUUGUACCUGCUCAUAAUGUGCUGAAAUAAUCCUUUUCUCCUGGACUUACCAGGAAUUCCACAAAGUCACCAGGAAACAUGUCCCAGCUCCAUCCUCAAAGGCUCUCUGCAACCAGACCCCUUGAUGAAUGAGGAAAAUUUAAACCCUGGGAUUCCUCUGUGCCAUGACACAAAAUACUGCUGGAUGAAGACACCCAGAGCCACCAGUGCUGACUCCAAAGCAAUUGGUCAGAGGAGAGCAUGGCACUCCCUUCCCUACUAUCAACACAAACCCUCUAAGAGCAACCUACAGCAGGGUCGCUGAGUGCAGAGAGCUGAAGAGCCUCUGAUAUCAACUCACCACAGAAACAGUCUACUGAUCUUCCUUACCAGAAUGGAAGGAGCACCAAACUCUUUUGUGUCAUGGAACAUAUAUGCUCAGAGUCUCCUAUACAUCGUCACAUGGAGAAUGAAUGUAUAUGGGGUAAAAAUAUUCCUACACACAGAGCUGGUUGCUAUCUAUUAGUUAUCACAACUUUAUAAAUCUCUUUGCACAAAAAACAGGUUUACCCCCCUCUUUUCCAAACUAGCUAGUUCCCCUUAAAAUAACUAACAUCAGCCUAUUAGAGAUCAGACGUAGCUGGGUUAGAUUACACUAUAAUUUAAGAAUAUAAUUUAAUGUGAACUUCUAAUUCCAAUGUGAAAGAUUAAAAUUCCACUGGAUAUUUAGAUGAAGAUAUUUUCAUCCAUCAGAAUACAUUCUUUACAGAAAUAAGAAACCAACCGCCAAAUUUACAGUUGCUAUUAGGAAUAUUGUGGUUUGGUCUGAAAUAAAACCCUUAAUUUCUGGAAAAGGAAAAGCAUAAACCAUCACUUCUCUCAUCCUACCUUCCCCAAAGGAGCAUCAGUCAGAGGAGUAAGUGAGGAACCAAAAUACCUGGCUGAAAGUGCAUCUGCAUGGUGGUGAAGCCAAAUCUGGAGGUCUCGUCAGGAUGCCUGAAGCACUACUUCUCAAAGGGGCAGGUGGCUGAGAAAGGUUCAUCUGAUAACCUCAAACCUCAAAAAAACAAAACAUCUUUGUUUGCUCAAAAUAGCUCCUCAGUUCCAAAACAUCCUGGAUCUUCUCUCAUGCCAAGGAAUUGAUAUCAAAUAUUCAAAUGCAGCACCUCUUGGGAGAGAAAGAGCAGAACCUCAGCCUCAAGUGCCUGAUGCAGUGAUGGGCAGGGCAGGAAGCAGGAAUCACACACAGGCACGUCGUCCUGCCACAGGGAAGGUUUUCACACAAACCCAUCAGCUGCACCAGGCAAACUGGUUGGGAUGGGUUGGGACUGUGGGACCAACAUGAGUGAAGCUGGAUCAUCCUCCUGGGUUCGGUUUUGAGCAACUGGUUUUGUGACACCUUGCUGGCCACAGGAGCCAGAGAAGGAGGACAGUGCUGCUCUCUUGCCAGAAGAAAGCCUUGUCUAAGUCUAGCCUCAGUGACAUCAUGAACUGACAUGUCUGGGACCAGGAGCCUCAUGCAAUAUUUUAAUCUUCUUUGUCUUCUUUGUCACUUACACAGAUGCUUAUGCAUCAUGGCAGGGGGAGGCAGGCAUGGUGUCCCAUGGUGUAUCUCUGUACUUCUCUACAAAGAGCAUGCCAUUCCCAACAUAUUUUCUCCUCAUUCUAGCAGACUUGCCUCUUCCCUUUCUCUUGCCAUUAUUGCCUGCAUGCCUGACUUGGAGACCCAGCACAAAAGUGCUGCAGAAAGGCUCAGGUGACACAGCAUGACACUGCAAUGGCUAAGCUAGAAAUCAAGGAGGUCACAGGCUCCUCCUUCCAUCAGCAUGGGUAUAACAGCACCACAUAAGGAAAAUCUGACCCAUUCAACCUAGAAAAUAUUCCCACAGAUGCAUGAAGAGACUGAAACCAAAAGGGCAGAUCAGGUGCUCCUCCAUUUUUCUGCUAUAGUCAGUCUUCCCCACAUCUCUAUUUAAAAGCAAUGAUUGAAACACAUUUCCAUCCUUGCUAUUUCUUCAUUAUAAUUGUUUCUAAAUGUCAUGUUUCUUUAAUUACCCCUUCCGAUAUAUGCAUGAGAAUGAUAGGAUAAAGAACAAUACAACAUUGCAAUUGAAUUACAAAAGCAAAAGCAUUGUACUAUUAACUUCAUAGCAUUGUUGUGUUAUAAAAUGCAAAGUAAAGAAAAAGGGGGAGUAAUUUGUUUAUAAAUAUGUUAGCUAGGUGGAGCAAAUGCCAUAUUGCCUGAUUGCAACUGAUUGCAAAGCAUGCCUUCUAGCAUGGAUUUCAUGGAGCAAAAUGUAGUUAAUAAAACU